rnacentral:rRNA from 1 species
ACGCUGGCGGCGUGCCUAACACAUGCAAGUCAACGGGGUAAAGAGCUUCGGUUUUUUACUUAGUGGCGAACGGGUGAGUAACGCGUGAGAAACCUGCCUUUCAGUGGGGGACAACAGUUGGAAACGACUGCUAAUACCGCAUAAUGUUAUUUGGGGGCAUCCCCGAAUAACCAAAGAUUUAUUGCUGAAAGAUGGCCUCGCGUCCGAUUAGCUAGUUGGUGAGGUAAUGGCUCACCAAGGCGACGAUCGGUAGCCGGACUGAGAGGUUGAACGGCCACAUUGGGACUGAGACACGGCCCAGACUCCUACGGGAGGCAGCAGUGGGGAAUAUUGCACAAUGGGGGAAACCCUGACGCAGCAACGCCGCGUGAAGGAAGACGGUUUUCGGAUUGUAAACUUCUUUUAUAAGGGACGAAAUUGACGGUACCUUAUGAAUAAGCUCCGGCUAACUCCGUG